CGAAAAACAGUAGGGCUUUUGGAAAGUGGUCAUUCUGAGAACAAUGACACAGGCGUGCGCGUGCAUGUGAAGACUUCUAUUUUCAGUGUUUGAACGAAAACAAGGUCUCCCGGUCGGAAUAUUAUCGCUAUUUUACUAGAAAAAUCGCAUAAAAAUUGAUUUUAAACAGCGUUUGACAUGCUUUGAAGUACGGUAAUGGAAUAUUUUGAAAUUUUUUGUCACGAUAUGCGCCGGCGCGUCACCCUUCGGAUAGUGUCUUGAACGCAAGAACAAAACGCAGCUAUUUGGAUAUAACUAUGGAUUAUUUGGAACCAAAACAACAUUGAGUGUUGAAGUAGAAGUCCUGGGAGUGCAUUCUGACGAAGAACAGCAAAGUUGAGAUGCUGCAGUGUUUCAAAUGCAUUGGUGAAGAAUGUACAAACUCAUCUUUAGUCAACUGUCCAGCCAUUUCCAACAAAACAUGUCUCACUGCAAACCUAAGGGCAAAAGGUCUCAUCAAUGUCACCACGGUAGUCAAGGGGUGUUCACCAACCUCCAACUGCGGAUCUCCUCUGAACAAUGGAACCACAGUGUCAGUGAACCAGGGCUUCUCAUACACUGCCUUUAACUUGCUCUGCUGUAACACCGAUGGGUGCAACAAUCAAACUCAGCCUGCCCCCAAUUCGCUGGCUAAUGGAAGACAAUGUCCCUCCUGCAGCAGCUUCCAAGACACGGUGUGUAACAGCACUGUGGCCUGCCUGGGUGUGGAAGACCAGUGCUUUAGCGGCAGUGUAACACUUGGCUCUACCAAUAUUACUACGGUGAAUCUCAAGGGCUGUACAACUUCCAACAUGUGCAACUCUAUUGAUCAACUGCUGCCCUCAGUGAAUCAACUGCUGCCCUCAGUGAAUCAACUGCUGCCUUCAGUGAAUCAACUGCUGCCCUCAGUGAUUAUCAUGAGUGCAAUCACGGCUGUGAAUUUCACCUGUAAGACAGCUCCUGCAACUGUAACCACAGCCCCUGUAACUGUAACCACAGCCCCUGUUACUGUAACUACAGCCCGUGUAACAGCCACAGCCUGGUCAAUCCGACUGAGCCUAGUCCCUCUGCUGCUGGGCCUCACCAUCAGCAAACUUAUUUGAUAUAAACAGAGAUGAACAUAUCGGGACUCAUCUGACAACAUAAUGC
rnacentral:lncRNA from 1 species